CAGUGUACUGAUAUGAAAACUGAAGCUCAGACAGAAGAGGCGACGUUGCUUUCUUAACCACUGGAUUUGCAGUGCUGUGGUUCUCAGAAGAGGCCAGGACAGGUUAAUCCACUCACUUGGGAGGUUGAAUGUACAGCUGGUAUAAAAAUGGUGCUUUGUCGUCAUGAAGAAGGUGUAUUCUGGGAUCAAACCACCUGGCUGGAGAUGCUUACUAACCUCAGUUUCUUCAUCUGACCUUACCUUUCUAAAAGAAUAAGAAGAAGAUGAUACAUAUUCCUCUAAAGUCCCAACAGGAACCUUUUCCCCUCACUCCCUCCCCAGAGAUGUGUAUCAUUUCCAUGAGUGUCUGUACUUUUACAACAUGUGCAUAUUAAUAAACAAAAUAUGACAAAUUA
ensembl:lncRNA LNCAROD lncRNA activating regulator of DKK1